UUUCCUACGGGGGGCUGCAGUGGGGAAUAGUGGACAAUGGGCGCAAGCCUGAUCCAGCCAUGCCGCGUGAGUGAUGAAGGCCUUAGGGUUGUAAAGCUCUUUCACCCACGACGAUGAUGACGGUAGUGGGAGAAGAAGCCCCGGCUAACUUCGUGCCAGCAGCCGCGGUAAUACGAAGGGGGCUAGCGUUGUUCGGAAUUACUGGGCGUAAAGCGCAUGCAGGCGGUUCGGUCAGUCAGAAGUGAAAGCCCCGGGCGUAACCUGGGAACUGCUUUUGAUACUGCCGAGCUGGAAUCACGGAGAGGGUAGUGGAAUUCCGAGUGUAGAGGUGAAAUUCGUAGAUAUUCGGAAGAACACCAGUGGCGAAGGCGACUACCUGGCCGUCGAUUGACGCUCAUGUGCGAAAGCGUGGGGAGCAAACAGGAUUAGAUACCCUUGUAGUCG
rnacentral:rRNA from 1 species